rnacentral:rRNA from 1 species
AAAUUUGAAAUCUGGCGUCUUCGGCGUCCGAGUUGUAAUUUGUAGAGGAUGCUUCUGGGCAGCCACCGACCUAAGUUCCUUGGAACAGGACGUCAUAGAGGGUGAGAAUCCCGUAUGCGGUCGGAAAGGCACCCUACACGUAGCUCCUUCGACGAGUCGAGUUGUUUGGGAAUGCAGCUCUAAAUGGGAGGUAAAUUUCUUCUAAAGCUAAAUAUUGGCCAGAGACCGAUAGCGCACAAGUAGAGUGAUCGAAAGAUGAAAAGCACUUUGGAAAGAGAGUUAAAAAGCACGUGAAAUUGUUGAAAGGGAAGGGAUUGCAACCAGACUUGCUCGCGGUGUUCCGCCGGUCUUCUGACCGGUCUACUCGCCGCGUUGCAGGCCAGCAUCGUCUGGUGCCGCUGGAUAAGACUUGAGGAAUGUAGCUCCCUCGGGAGUGUUAUAGCCUCUUGUGAUGCAGCGAGCGCCGGGCGAGGUCCGCGCUUCGGCUAGGAUGCUGGCGUAAUGGUUGUAAUCCGCCCGUCUUGAAACACGGACCAAGGAGUCUAACAUCUAUGCGAGUGUUCGGGUGUCAAACCCCUACGCGUAAUGAAAGUGAACGGAGGUGAGAACCGCAAGGUGCAUCAUCGACCGAUCCUGAUGUCUUCGGAUGGAUUUGAGUAUGAGCAUAGCUGUUGGGACCCGAAAGAUGGUGAACUAUGCCUGAAUAGGGUGAAGCCAGAGGAAACUCUGG